AUGCAGAUGACUUGUGUGCUUGAUUAUGGUUGGCUUGUGUGCAUAAUUAUGAAGUUAAUUACUCGGCAGCGCAUUUAUUUUCCAAGCCGCCAUAGGGAAUUAUUCUUUUGGGAUCAUAUUUAUUCUCCGCAAAAAGUAAUCUCAACUUGCUUAAAGGCCACAUUUGGCAGUUGCUUAAACCUUCUGGACAAGACACACAGACAUACAACUAUGUGA
rnacentral:rRNA from 1 species